GGAGUUUGGUCCGUGUCUCAGUACCAAUGUGGGGGACCUUCCUCUCAGAACCCCUACUGAUCGUCGCCUUGGUGGGCCGUUACCCCGCCAACAAGCUAAUCAGACGCAUCCCCAUCCCUUAGCGAUAAAUCUUUGGUAUUCGUCAGAUGUCCUCAAAAUACAACAUAGAGUAUUAAUCCGACUUUCGCCGGGCUAUCCUCUACUAAGGGGAAGGUUGGAUACGCGUUACUCACCCGUGCGCCGGUCGUCAUCUGGCUGAGCAAGCUCAGCCAAUGUUACCCCUCAACUUGCAUGUGUUAAGCCUGUAGCUAGCGUUUAUC
rnacentral:rRNA from 1 species